ACGACCUUACUUGAACAGGAUCUGUUCUAUAGGCUCGUACCUCUGUGUCCUUGAGUUCUAAGGAGACAGGAACCUAAGUCCGGUGGAUGAUCCAUGGCCGCUUGACCAGAGCGUGAUUAACGGUUCUGUCGGCGUUACAGCCGUCGGAGCUGUAGAGGAUCGUUCUCGGCCAGCUUCGCCUGGCUGGGAUGGUCUUGCGGUGGUCUGACAGACU